ensembl:lncRNA
UGGCUUUACAAAUUUUGACCAUAGCAUUCAACCAAUUAUUAGAAUGAAAAAUCUCACCCCUCCAUAAAUAUGACAUUAACAUAAUUAUACCACCCCCAUCACAGAGACCCAUCCUCCUUAGGGAAUACAUCUGAUGCUCCAAAGAUGGAAAUCAGUCAGAUUUUUAGUUGCUCUCCAACGUACCUUUGCUUCUCACUGACUGACUGGCUUUUACCCUCCACGCACUCACACGCCACCCCCUCCCCUCGGCUAGACACGGAUGCCCGAGCGAGCACGCGCGCGCGCUCACGCUCGCCGGCAUACAGACACACGGAGAGUCAGGCUAGCAUCUGAUGCUGACUCAGAGCGCUUCUGUGUGCAAGGGGUGGCGGCGGCUGGUAUUUUCACUGCGCUCAUCAUUAACAUUAACGCACAGUCUGGCAUCCACCCUCUCCCAGACCUGCUGGACUGCGGCAUUUGCAUGACGCUGUCACUCUUGCCUCUGCAGGAAUUAGAAGACCAGCCCUGCCAGGAUCUGACUAAUCAAUGUGAUUUACACUGUGGUGAAAUGCUAAAUUGUGGACUGACAUCAACCAACAAGGACAGAACUAGCCAUCGGUGACUCUACAGCAUACAAAAAAGGCAUACAAAAGGGAAGCAAAGGACACCAUCCUCCAGCCAAUGCUGUCUGGUGCAGCAGAUAUGCCAGUUUACUCUCACAGACAUUCCCAGCAUGCAGUGCGGCGCUGCAGGACCAACUAAGGAUAUUAAAUCAUCAAUACAGAAAUAAAGAGUCAACUUCUUCAUGAGAAGAUAAAAGUUUAAAGACAAGCUAAAUCAAAAAGGACAGUUGCACAUAUGAACUCAUAAUAGCUGUAACAGCAUAAAACAAACAACCAAAAUUUAAACAAACAAACAAAAAACUUCUGUGAGAUCCAGUCAACAAUAUCCUAGAAUGAAGAAGGGAGGUUGGCUCAAGACCAUCCACAACUGAAGAACAUUUGGUAAUUGAUAGCUGCUGGGACAGGAAGAGUCAUUUGUCCUUAAGGGUGUGGUCCCUGAAGUUACUGAACAACCAGUCUCACCAUCCUUCAUCUCAGGGACCACUGGAUUAAGAAAAUGACACUUACGCUCUGUGCUACAUCCUCAGUUAUGUUCAUCUUUGCCUCCACCUGCAUCCAGGAUGCUUUUGACUGCAGUUAGUAUCAAUUCCAUCCAUGGAAUCUUCUCUUUUGAGCUUCCUAUUCAACCAACUUGUACCUGUGCUGUAUGAGUCAGUAAACACACAUGUACUCAGAAUGAUGGUAACUGGGCAUCGAUCACAAACCAAACAAAAAGGUUCACAAAGGCACAAAGCACUGCACCGAAGCUGGACCAAUCCUUGCCAUCAGCUGGCAGCAGAAUGGUAGACGGUGGGAGAGACCCUGAAUCCUUCCAGGCUGGGCUGACUUGAGAAAUGAGAACUGCACACGUUUGACUCCCGAACCGAAGGGGUGAAAAGGCUGGGUGCCAGUUUGCUACUCGGCUGAAAUGAUCUCAUGUUCACUGCUCUGUCGUCCUGUUCGACCAGUUCAAAUGCCUGUUCAUUAUAAACCAAAUACAUACAUAAAUAAAUAACCCAACUACUUGGAUUCUUCAGUAACCGAAAAAAAAAAGCAGAAUUUAUCAGGCGUGAAAGGGACAGCCUCCUGGUGGCCUGCCAAAAACCCAGAAUAAAGGCGAAGUUGUGCUUCAUAGCUCAGUUGCUUGCUGAGUCUGGCUAAAGUCAAGUAUUAAGAUCCACCAUUUUCUGAUCCUUGCUAGAAAAGAAGAAAAAAGUCAGGCCCGCUGCUGCUUCCAAGUCUCCGUUGGCACCAUCACAAAAUCUCAGUCGUCAGGUCACGUGAUCCUCUGCCAAAUGUAGAGUGAGUGCAUUCCCAUCAACCAUUCUGCUGAUACUGCGAAGGCAGCUAUUGUCUCGUUUAGACCCAAAGUUCAGCCCACUCUUCAUUGAAUUAGCUGAAAAACGCAUCACCUUUGGGGGCUGGGAGUCAUGGUAACGUCUACCUGGCAAGCUGCCCACUUUUUCUGCCCAUCAACCAGAGAUGGGAUUGUGCUGCCUAACGCAGUGAUGACUUGGAAUGUGAAGAGUCGUCCAAAGUGAAUCUAAUUCUUGCAACGCCUGUUUCAUUUGCACAGAAAACUCUGCCUUGUAGUUAGGGGAGGAGAGGCGUGGGGGAAUCUUUCCUACCAAAAGUAGCAAAUAAAGGUCUGAACAUGCCUACUUUGCAACUUUAUUUCUCAACACACCCAAACGGCUCUCAAAUGAGAAGACUGAACACCCUGUGAGUUUUCUUCAUUAAAGGCAUCUCUGUUUUCUUUACCGUGAAUACAAGCCCAGAACAUUUGUUUUACUCUCUCACUUUAAGACUUCAAAACAAAACAGAACCUCAGAGUUUUCUUUUUCUUUCUUUUUUUUGCAUUUUUAUUGCUUUCUGAUUUUAUCUAGCACCAAUUUUGUACUACAUGGCCACUAGCAACAGAGAUGCAUUAUUGCUACCAUCUCCAACAAAGUGGUCCCCUGAGAGGCUGGCUUGUCUCUUCCAGCAGGCAAAUGGCUGCAAUUGGGUCUUGUGAUAAUCCCCAUCACUACCUAGCACAGCUGCUCUGCAAGUUUGCUGCGAGUGACACAUGUGAGAAGAGCCUUUCUGUUCCCUCACUGGCUACGGUUUGCCUGUGUGGCAUGAAAGAUGUCUUUGAAAGGUGUAGCGAGUGUAUCAACAGCUCUUAGGCAAUAAAACUGCCUUCGCCUCCCUGGUGAGAUUCCAUUCCAGCAUGCAAUGAGAGUCCCCAUGUACAAACAUUUCCAUAUUUUCUAACAAAAGUGGAGUGAAUUCAAUCUGUGUUUCCUUAAGCAGGAUCUAAUGCCAAAUAGGAGAGUAAGCCUUGCUAGUGUUUAAGGCAAAGAUAGAACCCAAUUUAAAAGAUCUGUAUCUUCAUACUCCAUUGUAAAUUUUCUAGUGAUUAUAUGUCUAAAGUAAAUUAUGUUCGCAAGACAUCUAACAUUACACUCAGUACCUAAUCCGAAAGAUAGAUCUGCACCCUCUCCAGGAAUACAUACAUUAUAAAUAAUACUUGACAAUUCAAACCAUGACUUGCCUAAACAUUAAAGGUGAAAGUCAGAGAACUAGGAAACCUCCUAUCCGUGGCUUCAAGGGAUAUUUCCUUAUUCAUGAGGUCACUUCAGAGGUGCGGGGCUGAGUAUCACAUGCACAUAUGGGAAAUGUCAUGGUAUCCUGCCUGUCUGUAAUUGAAAAUUGCAUGCAGUUCUACACAUCGAAACAUGACCUUAAACAUGUGCUGAAUCUUUGCAAUUACUUUUUCCUAGGCUGAAGAAAUUCUGGGCAAAUUUUGUCAGAGUCCUAACCACACACCUGAAGAGUUGUUGAGGGGAGAAUUGUCCAUGGCAAAUCUAUAGCCCCUGUGUUGUAAGACUGCACAAAGUAGGAAACAUAUAAAAUGGAAAGUUUAAAUUCCUAGUGACUGUUCUGUUUUGCAGCAAUUAAGCACUAGUGUUUGGUACGCCUUGCAGUAGGCUCAGGGGAAUAACAAUAAGCCAAAUGGAUAAGACUCCCAUGGGAUGUCAUUCAGUAUCUACUUUGAAGUGAGAAAAGCUCACUACAAAACAGAGUGAAGCUAGUAUCCAAAGGAAAUUCAUUACAGAGGGAUUCUUCAUGAAACAAGCAGGAAGAAAUUGAAGAACGGAAGUAAAAGCAUAUUAAAUAUAAAUUACAGAUGGAAAUGUUUCAGUCCAAAGCUUUCCCUUUCAAUAAAAAAAUCAUUAAUUGGUUUCUAGUACUUUAUAUGUUUACCUUGCAUAAAGAAACUAAUGGAGAAGUUGAAUGGUGACCUCCCAUUUCCAAAAGAAAGAAACAAAGGAAAAGGGAGAAAUUUGAGGGAGAAAUUUGCAUUUAGGAACAUUGAAUAAACAUGGGUUUUCUAAUCUUCUACCGAAUAUCAAUAUCUCUAGAGAAUAAAACAGAUAGCAGGAGACUGUGACUUGAAGAGAUAGCAGGAGGCUAUAAUAGAAGAUGAG